CUGCAGACGACGCAUCGGAUCGAAGACCAAAUUCACUGAUUCCUUUUUUCUUUCACAAAUUUCUAUGUAAAAAAGGAAGACAUGGUAUCAUUCGCCAAAUACAGCUUGGUGCCCACAGAGGAACCGAAGGAAAAUGUUGCCCCUCCUCCUCCGCCCCAGAGCUCAGGGGCCUUCGACUACAACUCGGCGUUCAGUUACAAAUCAGCGUUUGACUACGGUAGCAAAACCACCAGUCAGUACCAGUCUGCAUUCGACUAUGGCUAUGGUCAUAGGGGACAUUCUGUUUCCCUCAGUCUGGGGGAGAAGGACAAGGGCAAGAAGGAUCGGUUCAAGAACUGGAGCCUGAUGACCUGCCUGGCAACAGUCGUCACUGCCCUGAGCUACUUCUUCAUCUGCAUCACCUUCCCUGUCACCCUCUGGUUCUGCUUCAAGAAGAUCGCACAAUGGGAGCGGCUCAUUGUGUUCCGUUUGGGGAGGCUGCGUGGCGCUCUAGGCCCUGGCAUUGUGUUCGUCAUCCCCUGGCUGGACCGACACAAUCGCGUUGACAUGAGGACCAAGGCUUUCUCUGUGCCUCCUCAGCAGCUCAUCACAUCGGACAACGGAAUCAUAGAAAUGGGCUGCGAAGUUAAAUACAGGAUCAGCGAUGUCCAGCGGCUCACCACCUCCGUCACGUCUCCCGAACAUGGCCUGCGCUCCUUUGGCAAGACAGUGAUGCUCAACGUGCUCACCAAACACACUGUGAAAGAGACAGAGAGAGACCGGCCAAUCAUUGCAUCGCAAAUCCAGAAGGAGCUCAACCUAAGAGUGUUGGAAUGGGGGAUUGAAAUUGGUGAUGUGUCACUGAGUAACGUAAACAUCUUAAAGGAAGCCGAACCCCACAACCCUCUGAAGCCCCUCAUGAACUGCUUCGGGGGCAAGGGGGGUGAGAUCGUGGCUCCUCCUGGAGCAACAGCCGCAGCUGCCUCUUCAAUACUGAACAUGCCAGGUUUCCCAGGCAUGGGAGACUUCUCCUUUGUCAACACUGGGCCCUCCAAGAAGAAAUCAGAGGCAAUCGUCACAGAGGAUGAACCAUACAUGGGUCGUAUCCAGCAGUACUUGACAGAUCUUCUGGGUUUCUCUGACGAGAUUAGUGAGCAGCCAAUGCAUCCAAAUAUACAAGUGACCAGCAGCCGAUCACCAGACACCAAGCUGGGCAAAUACCUCCAGGGCCUGAUCUCUGGGCCCAAUGGCAACGACCUCACCCACGGUAUAUACAGGCUACAGGUCGAGGGCAAAGACGGUGGGAUCUUCAUUAUCUUCAUAGGCAAUGGAGUGCGUCAGGUGGUGGAGGGUGACUUGGCGAAGGUAACUCCAGAUGUAGCAGUGGUUAUCAGCAAGGAGGACCUGAUGGCCAUCUUUGAGGGCACCCUGGCCCCCUUGCAAGCUUACCUCUCAGGCCACCUGACUGUCCAGGGCAACAUCCAGAUGCUGAUGGGCCUUGAGACACUGAGACAGACCACCAAAGACAAAGACAAAGAGGACAUCUUCGUGGUCUGAUGUUAAAUGAAACGGUGGCACUUCCUUUCCUCCUGUCUGUAAAAGGGGGUGUCAUGGAGUGGCGGAGAUCCUUGUGCCUGAGAACGGUGUAUAGCUGGCAGGACCACAGACCAACCAAUGCUUACACCUCAAGCUUGAAGUAACCAAGUAGAAGACUUUCUACUCAGAACUAUUUAUCUUUUCAUGCUUAUAAAUAAUUGAAAGAACUCGUGGGACAACUGUUUUUGGGAAAAUUAUAAUAAAAAUCGGUAAUAACAUGUCUGCAUUUAUUUACUUUGAAUCAACAUUCUUUUCUUAAUCACAAGGCAACACACAAUAAAGUUAACACUGGUGAAAAUCAGAUCUUACCUAUAUACAAUGAAAAUCAUUCAGCAGAAAUAAAAACACACUGAAAACAGCCUUUUGCCUUUCUACGUUUUUAUCAUACAAAAUACAUUAAAAAGGAAGCUUACAGAACAAAAAUAUCAUAGUAUACUUGUAUGCACUACAAAAAAAAAAGG
rnacentral:misc_RNA from 1 species